UCACUGUGAUGAUGGUUUUUCAGCGUUCACAGUUUCCACCAGAAAGAUUUUCCUUAGUGUUCGGUAAACCUUCCUUGGAUGUCUAUGAGA
ensembl:snoRNA SNORD14 Small nucleolar RNA SNORD14